UGAUUUGUCAUGUAUACUUGACAGUUGUUGCCAUUUUUAUAAUUCGUCUAUUUUACUUGUUUUUGAUCGUUCAACUAAUGCAAGGGAAUUGAAGUUCAGUUUAAUUCUACUGAAACAACCAAUGUUCAUGUGGGUGUGGUUUUUCGUGAAUUAUAUUUUUGAUUUGUUUUUUUCGUCAUGGCCUUAUAACAUUGUACAAUUAAUUUUCAACCGAUGAGUGAGGGAAACUGGAUAUUUAUUGGAAUUCCACUGAAAUAACAAAUUUUCUCAAAUGGUGUUCUUCCUGGACUUUGUUUGCAUUUUAUACCAGCAAACUUUGGAAUGUUAGUCUACAAUUAAUUAAGAUCGACGGUGGAGAAGGCAAAGAAGACCCCGUAGUUAGAAAAUUCCUUCAUAAGUUCAUUUUCAUUUGAAAUAAUUAUUGUUUUACUUGUUCAUUUUAGUUUAUUUAUUUGAAUUAAUUUUUGUUUGUAGUAGUAGUGGAGAUACUAACAAGUUUUAUUUUUUUAAUCCCUAGUAAUAGUAGAAGUUGUCUAACAUUGCUUGCCUCUUCACUUAGCUUACUGCAUAUUCCUACUGUUUUGCUUUACAUUUACCCUAUACACUUUUUGCGAGUCUACUCUAGCGUUACUUCCUUUCAGACAGGGUACAGUGGGUUAUCUGGAAUAGGAACAAUAGGCGACUGCCCAGCUUGCCUUGGCGAAAUCUGUCCGAUCAUCUCUACCAAAGCUAUUAGUAUUUGCCGUUCUAAUUUUGUAGUAUUUGCUUUCAGAUUAUGAGAUAUUCCUUGAGAAGAAUGAAGAACAUCGUAUUUUUUGCUUUUUAUUAUAUUUUCCUUGAAAUGUCAUUUGUUUUGUUGUCUUUUUGUACUAGUAUUUUGUUUUUUUCUACAUAUACUGUCAUAUUAUAUUAAUCGUACUUAGGCUGAUAGUUAAAACUUUUUUAAAUUAAUCUUUUGACCGUGCUCAUUUUAGUUCAUAUUUGUUUAAAUUAAAUUGAAAAUAAUUUGGGUGGAUAGGGUGGUUAUAAGGGGAGAUGUGAAGGCCACAGAAGG